UGAAGUUCUCCGUGUCCUUCGCCGCUCUGGAGGUUUUCCCAUUUAAAAUCAGCUGGCGCAUAUUAUUUUUCAGGGCUCCCUCAGGUGUUUGGGUGUUGCCAGAUGGAUACUGCAUCUACGAUCGCGUGCGUCGCGCCAGCAGAUGCUACCUGCACACUCUACGACGUACGACCUCUAUUCGCCGAGACCCUCUCUGGCCAUAAGCUGAUAUGCCUCGAUCUCCUUCUCUUAGCAGCAGGUUGCCCCCUUCGGAUGCCAG